CUUUAGCCACCUCCCUAUGGAGGUCACCCCCAGCGAAAAUUCCAAAAUACCCCUGCUUCGGAAGUUCAUUUUCGAAAGCGUCUUUUUUUGAAAAAAUUGACUUAUUUCGGAAGUUCAUUUCCGAAAACAUUAUUUCGGAAGUUCACUUCCGAAAUACUGCGAUUUCUGCAGAUUUAUCAAAACACUCCCCCUCCCCCAAUCAUUUACCCUAAAUCAAAACAAAAAGUGGCAAAGGCGAAAAUUUGUGCAAACAGAAUUCCAAAGCUGCAUCAAGGCUCCAAUCACACUGCUAAACAACAUUCAAAAGCCCUCAAUCCUAACACUUUGAACAUGUCAGACAAUCAACCAGCACGCAGGACUGCGUCUUCUAGAGAGGGAAUGGGUGGCGCUAAGGGAAGAAAGGGUUCUUCAAAGAAGGAGGUGAAGGAGGUGAAGGAGGUGAAGGAGAAGAAGAAGGUUUUGACUGGUUCUGCUUCUCGUCCCCUGGGGGUCCAUGGCUCGGACGUGCAGACUCAGUCUUCAGGCGUGAUCAACGCUGAUGGUUUUGAUACCGAGUG